rnacentral:misc_RNA from 1 species
ACAGCAGCUGUUGGGACAUCAACCUAAAGAAGAAACCAGGCUGCUGGUUGAUCAUGUAUGCGUGGGUGAAGACUAACCAAAACCUACAAAUGUUAUGUUACUACAAGACAGAAGUGUACUUUCUUCUGCUGAGUGCAGUGUACAUAUGCAGAUCACUAAAUAAAAAAGGCAGACCCAGUGCCGAAGGCUCCCACGUGAGUGGGGUCUGCAGAAGAGAUCAACCAAAGCAAGACUUUCCCUGCAAAUGCAAGAGGCUGCUUCGAACCACAACCUGGCGACUCAGUGAGGCAGGUCUCACCACUGCACCAGACUUGUCCUUCUACUCGUAAUAAGGAUAUCUAAACAAAUUCCCUCUUUCUUACUGGCCUUAGUUUAUUCCUAAUGAGCAACCAAGGCCAGUCUUAAAUUCUUAAUAUAGGUCAUUGGUACGAUGUCAAUAGCAAGUUAAGCAACUCUUCUUACCGAAAAUAAAUUGAUAGCAACUACUACAGGUUUAAACAGUUUCAGAACACUGGCAAAAAAACAUUUUGGAAUCAUAGUUUAAUCAAGACCGAUAAAGGCUGCUGCAAUGCACAGUUGCAAAACUCCUUAAACUGAAAGUAAAAUGCACAUAGUGUGUAAAACUUUUAAGUCCAAUUGGGCAUCACCACUAUUUCUGAACAUAGAACAUCCUCACAAACUAAAUGGACUCAGAAAACAACCUUUAUCUUGUAACAUAAUGGCUGCUAUUUUCGUGCAUCUGUUAUUAACAGUAUAAACUAACUCCCUGGCUGCUACUUUUUCCUGUACCUAUUAGUAACACUACAAUCUAGAUGAAAAAAUUACAGUACUGACCAUGGCAAGCAGUCGAGCUGGA